rnacentral:rRNA from 1 species
AUGCGGCAGCUUCGGCUCAUCACCAACAUGAGGGCUCAUAAUGACACGUGGUUUGCAGAUUACUUGCUAAGGGUCGGCAAUGGCACUGAGGAUGUAGACGAUCAAGGAAACAUACUACUCCCUGAAGAUAUUUGCCUGCCGUCUACAGGCGAGGUUGACGACCUGGAGAAACUUAUUGACCACGUGUUUCCGAGUCUAGAUGACAACAUGUCUGAUUCCAAUUACAUGACAUCUCGAGCAAUCCUUUCCACGACAAACGACAAUGUCGACAAGAUAAACAUCCGCAUGAUAGAC